CAGACAGGAAAUGUGACGUCGCCUGCAUUCACAUGAUGUCUGUCUGUGUGGCGUGGGUCACUGGGUGGCUUUACUGAGAGCAGGGACAUCGGGGAUGGGUGUUCUGGGCAUCUUAACAAAGGGAAAGUCAGAUUGUUCCUACUGAAGCCCCUUCUCCUUUCAGCUCCCACCAAGACGGCCUGUCCCCAAGGGACUUGGAGUGGAGACUUGAGCCACCACCUGUCAGAGGUGCAGUCUUCACAGGCACAGCUGGAGCCAAGCACCCUGGUGCCCAAAUGUCUGCAACUACAGCUAGAUCAAGGGAAUGGCUUGGCCAGGCAGGGCCUUUCCUCUACCACUUGCAGCUUCUCAGCCAAUGCUGAUUCUGGGAAACAAUGGCCCUUCCAAGAGCUGGUUUUAGAGCCCUCCCUGGGGAUGAAGAACCCUCCCCAGCUGGAAGAUGAUGCACUUAAAGGCUCAGCAGACAACACACAAGGGCAUCAAGUCAUUGGCCAGAUUCAUGCCUCCAGUGUCCUGAAACCAAAGAUCAUCAAAAGAAAAUUCUCAUUCAGCAAGUGGAGACUGGCAUGCAGAUUCCCUGGCCUGCAAGCUUAGGGUGCAGAGAUACCAAAUACUGCUGGAAGGAUGCAAAGGAUGAAAGGAUGUCACAAAAAGUAGCUUUUCCACUUGAUGAAAACAACUAAAACAGCAAAGCAAGUUCAAAUCCAAACACAACCCUGCAGGGAUCCUUCACUGAGGAUUGAAGUUUAGACACAGAAUACUCUUCAUUAUUUCAACCCACUACAUUCCUUUGAUUUGAGAAGUCACAGUUCAUCCCCCUCCAAUUGUGAUCAAUGCCUAGGGAGACCAAUGCCCAGAUGGACAAACAACAUUGACAGGCCUUAGCCCUGCUCCUCUCAAUUC
rnacentral:lncRNA from 1 species